rnacentral:lncRNA from 1 species
GAUUUUCAGAGGGCAGGUGGGGGGAGGCUGGGGACCUUCCCGGGGGGCACAAAUCUUGUCUCGUCACUGAAGGAUGCACACAGCUCAUGGAGACCACGUCAACCACCGGCCUAAGGAAAGCAGUGGGAAAGCUGUGAGUUGAAGCCAGAGAUGAAUCCAUGCUCAACCUGUGUGUGGCAGAACUCCUAGUAAGUGUGACGCGGCUUAAGCAGCUUGUCUGAGUUUGCACAGCUGGCAAAUGGCUGAGCCAUGACUCACACCCAGGUCCAUCCACCGCCAAAGCUCCAGAUCUCUGGCAUCCUUCUAAGGUCAGAAAGGGAAAGAAAUCCCUAAUAAGGAGCCUGUGUGACGGCGUGCCCCCCUCCACUUUCCCACCCCCGCCAAGGACCCGUUUGAAGGCUGUUCACACCAGUCACUGCAAUCACCAUUGAGCACAGAGAUGACAGUUCCAGCAAGCACUGACCUUCCAGCCCACUCUGCGGAGGAGAAGACUGAGGGGCAGAGACGAUGUUGAUUUGCUGCAGUUGACUCUGACCCUAAUUUCCCAGCGCUGACUCAAACUCAUCAAGAACACUGCUUUCACUGAGUGUAUGAGUGAUUUCUCCAUCCGUGUGGCUUUACCUGAACUCACACCGGUCCCACGGCCCAGGUGUGGGGCCGAGCACUCCCCUCUGCCUCCUCCCUGGACUGCAGGACCUGUGUCUCGCUUUAUGAAAGAGGUGCCAUUUGGGGAAGACUCGCAUUGUCAGGAGCGCUGUGGACGCUCCGGGCGGAGAUCAACACGAUGAUGAUGCCGGGUGGAGGGAAUGUGCGCUUCUCAGGAGCCAGAAGAGAAUAAUCUGAAUGUCUCCAGCAUCAAGAAAAGACCAGUAUUGAAGGAGGAGCCAAAAGCAUUUUGCUGACCUCGGUGCAGAUCAACCCUGCAACAAGGUGCAGAAGAGGCACCAAAGGGGCUUUGUAGCCAGCAACAUGCCAGAUCCAUGCACCUUGUUGAUGCAGCC